UUAUUGCUAUAAUUUUUCUGAAUUUCGGAACGUAUUUAAUAAAUUCUGUUUUAUCUAUGGUAUGGAUAUUUACUUUGCAAUAAUUUUCAUGACAUGAGACUACAUUUUGCUGCAAUUACAAGCGAUUUGAUCUGGUUUUGUUAUAAUUUCGUUUCAAUUUUAUGCGAAUAGGUACUGAGUUUAUAAAAGUAACAUAAUAUUGUCUUGUACUUAUAUAAUUAGUUUUUGUGUAUUUCGGAUUCCGUUUACAUCUAGGUACCUACUAUGUCGGGGUCCUACGAGAAAGCUGGCGUAUCAACGCCACGAAUAUUCAGGCGCCCGUAAAUCGUCAAAACGAGUGAAAAGCGCAUUCAGUUGGAUACAUGUGGACGACAAGAUAGUAAACGUGUAAAUUAUAACUCAAGUUGUGGCCAGCUUCAUUGUAAACAAACUUUAGUUUUCAAGUUCAAGGACAAAUGCGUGUCAGUAACAUGGAUAAAUGCUACUUCAUAUGUUUUAUUUCAGUCAAUGAACCUUUGACUGUUAUAGAAGUUUGUCGAGAUAAUAUAAUGACUUUAUCAGCAAUAUGAUGCCAAAGUUAAUACACUUUUUUAAAGAAUGUAUUCUGCCAGAAAUAGUUUUGAGACAUGUUCAAAAAAUGCGAAAUGUAUACCUAGGUAUGAAAGCAGCUGUGUAGCGGUAGUUUCCAGGCAAUAAUGAGGAAGGAUGAGCGAAAACAACACGACAAAUGUUUUUUUAUUGUACUAUUAUAGUAGUGUGUUUAGAAUCUACAUUAUCAAUGUUUACAGUCAUGUUUUUUUUGAUGUCAGAAAACUGAAAUGGUGUACUCGUCGUAAUGAACAUAAUGUUCAUAAUGUGAUAUGAAUACAUUGACCUAUUUUAAGGUUUCUGAAAAACAAAAAGGAAAGUUGUUGCUUUUUUAUUUCCUUAUGUAGUAUAGUGAUUAUGGAUGCUUAGAUAUUCUCAAACAUUUUUCCGCUUUGAUUGCAAUCUAUUAUUCUGGUUGCCUUGUUUAUGAAUUAUAGUUUUGAAUUAUUAUUUUGAAUGAGAUUAUUUUUUAUUAAUCAGUCACGUAUCAAGCAUUCAUAUCACAUAAAUACUUGUAAUAAUUGCAGGUUAGUAUAUACAUUCUAUUAAAUAAUGUAUAAGAUAAUAAAAUAAAACUGUCUUACAUUGCA